rnacentral:rRNA from 1 species
UACGUAGGGUGCGAGCGUUGCCCGGAUUCAUUGGGCGUAAAGCGCGCGCAGGCGGCUCCGCACGUCCCGCGUGAAAUCGCCCGGCUCAACCGGGCGGGGUCGCGGGCGACGGCGGGGCUCGAGCGAGGGAGGGGGCAGUGGAAUUCCCGGUGUAGUGGUGGAAUGCGUAGAUAUCAGGAGGAACACCGGUGGCGAAGGCGGAUCUCUGGGCCAUUACUGACGCUGAGGAGCGAAAGCGUGGGGAGCAAACAGG